UACGUAGGGUGCAAGCGUUAAUCGGAAUUACUGGGCGUAAAGCGCGCGUAGGCGGUUUUGCAAGUCGGGUGUGAAAUCCCCAGGCUUAACCUGGGAACUGCAUUCGAGACUGCAUUACUAGAGUAUGGGAGAGGGAAGUGGAAUUUCCGGUGUAGCGGUGAAAUGCGUAGAUAUCGGAAGGAACAUCAGUGGCGAAGGCGGCAUCCUGGACCAACACUGACACUGAUGAGCGAAAGCCAGGGGAGCAAACGGG
rnacentral:rRNA from 1 species